rnacentral:rRNA from 1 species
UGGGGAAUAUUGGACAAUGGGCGAAAGCCUGAUCCAGCCAUGCCGCGUGAGUGAUGAAGGCCUUCGGGUCGUAAAGCUCUGUGGGGAGGGACGAAAUCUCGGAAGCUAAUAUCUUCCGAGUUGACGGUACCUCCUUAGCAAGCACCGGCUAACUCCGUGCCAGCAGCCGCGGUAAUACGGAGGGUGCAAACGUUGCUCGGAAUCACUGGGCGUAAAGCGCACGUAGGCGGGUCGGUAUGUCGGAUGUGAAAGCCCCGGGCUUAACCUGGGAAGUGCAUUCGAAACUGCCGACCUUGAGUUCGGGAGAGGAUCGCGGAAUUCCCGGUGUAGAGGUGAAAUUCGUAGAUAUCGGGAGGAACACCAGUGGCGAAGGCGGCGAUCUGGACCGAAACUGACGCUGAGGUGCGAAAGCGUGGGGAGCAAACAGG